rnacentral:rRNA from 1 species
UACGUAGGUGGCAAGCGUUGUCCGGAUUUACUGGGCGUAAAGGGCGCGUAGGCGGUCAGCACAAGUCAGUUGUGAAAUCUCCGAGCUUAACUCGGAAAGGUCAACUGAUACUGUGCGACUAGAGUGCGGAAGGGGCAACUGGAAUUCUUGGUGUAGCGGUGAAAUGCGUAGAUAUCAAGAGGAACACCUGCGGCGAAGGCGGGUUGCUGGGCCGACACUGACGCUGAGGCGCGAAAGCUAGGGGAGCGAACGGG